GCAAGCGUUGUUCGGAAUCACUGGGCGUAAAGGGCGUGUAGGCGGUCCGCUAAGUCUGAUGUGAAAGCCCGAGGCUUACCCUCGGAAGUGCAUUGGAGACUGGCGGACUGGAGUCCCGGAGAGGAGGGUGGAAUUCCUGGUGUAGCGGUGAAAUGCGUAGAUAUCAGGAGGAACACCGGUGGCGAAGGCGGCCCUCUGGACGGUGACUGACGCUGAGACGCGAAAGCGUGGGGAGCAAACAGG
rnacentral:rRNA from 1 species